rnacentral:misc_RNA from 1 species
UUAAGUUCAGCGGGUAUCCCUACCUGAUCCGAGGUCAAGUCGUAGAAGUGGGCUUGAUGGACGCUGACCUGCCGGUGCCUCGAGAAGCGCAAACCACUGCGCAAGAGGCUGGCACGACCGCUGCCAAUACCUUUGGGGCGAGUCCGCGCAAAGCAGCGGGACAGACGCCCAACACCAAGCAGAGCUUGAGGGGGUAAAUG